GAAGAAGCCCAAAUUUCCAAUACCAUUCAUGAUUCAUUAACCCAAUACAUUUCAUUCCAAUUCAAUUUUCAACCCAUUCAAUAUUCCUGAUUCAUUGUUCCCAAGUUCCACUUCCACUCUCCUGUCUCCGUCGGCCUCGACUUUGUACUUUUCAAUCUGCCGCUCAAGGAAGAUUCCACAAUGCGAACCCUAGACGUAAGUCAGGUAGCACCUUCAAGCCCUUGAACUUCUCGAGACGCGGCAGCCGGCAGCAGUCCUUCGAAUCUACAUUUGCACCAACAAUUCGACGGCAGAAGAAGAAGGCCUAGAAGCCCCAAGCUUGUGAAGCCCUCGAGCCUAAUUCGAUGAGUCUUGAACUUUGCUGAAGUCUCGAUGCAUUCUGUGACUAGGAGUGUGACUGUGAGUUUGCUUACUCCGUCUCUAUGACUGAAGCGUGCUUCCAUUCCAUAUUGCUAAAUGCUAAUGCUACCUCUCUGUGACUAUGAAAACAUUUUGUAAUUCUGUGACUAUGAGUUGCUAAUUGCUUACUUUGUGAAUUGAUUCUAGAUUUUCCAAGAAUUAUUGCUAUUUGAAUUG